UUAAUUUAACUAAGUAACAUAUACCAGAUUAGGCCAGGGUUUAGGGUACUGGAUACAGGAGUACACAUAACCAUUAACAAGGGGUAAUCAUAUAACUCAAAGUCAAAGUGCUUAAUAAUGGUUGAAGUGCCUAAAGAAGGCAUCAUAAAUUCUGUAAUUGAUUGGAUUUAGACCAAAUUAGCAGGACAGCCUAGCAGAAGACAGAUCCCAAAACCCAACUCUGAGAGGGCUCAACAAAUGAUACUCAACGUCUAAACAACUGAGAUAAAACCUAAGAUAAUCUGAUAAAUAAAGGACUACAAAAGUUGGAUAAAGGCAAGAGACUGGCCCACUUAAUAAUGGCCUGUUUGGUCAAUAUCACAUCACCUGAUCAUCUGGGGCCCUAGUUAGGAGUCCUUGGAUUCCCACAUAUAUAUGAUGUGCCUUGACCUCUAAAGGGACCCUCUCUCCACUACCACUGGUCACUUCCAUAAGGAACAGCAUCUUGUGGGCCCUCCCAGGACCUUGGCUCUACCAUAAGGCAAUGACAGUAGGGAUAGACCCAAUCUCUGAAGGGAGGCUGGGGGUAUCCUGCCCUGCUACUCAAAAAAGACUGGGCCUGUAUGAGUGCAGCCUGCCAUGUUCUUCAGAUGUGACCAUGAGCUAUAAGCUCAGACCAAUAGGGACUUAGAGGUCACACAGGCUCUGGUGCUAAAUAUAAAUGUAUAUUUAUGUGUGGGCCCUGGAGCAGGUAGAUGGAGGUAAAUAGUUAAUUUCAGCCAUGGAAUUUUUUUAAAUCUUUAUUUAUUGGAUAUAGAAAGCCAGAAAUCGAGAAGGAAGGGGGAGAUGGAGAGGGAGAGAAAGACAGAGAGACACCUGCAGCCCUGCUUCACCACUUGCAAAGCUUUCCCCCUGUGGGUGGGGACCGGGGGCUUGAACCCAGAUCCUUGUGCACUGUAAUAUGUGUGCUCAACCAGGUGUGCCACCGCUAGGCCCCUAGAUUUUUUUUUUAUAAGAAUGGGAGCUACUCCCUGCCCUAAUCCAACUUUCUAGCUCUUUUCUCCACUCUUACACCAUUCUCUCAGACAAUAUUCUCACCCAACCUCAGCCCAGAUACCAAACUCAAGCAAAACUACUCUAGUUGUGUGCCCCCAGGAACACACCUAAAAUGGUUCUCCUAGCUUUCUUCUACCCUAAAAUCCCUAAUCUCAUCUGAUCCUACUUUCUGGUUCGUGUUCAUUAACCAUCUUGUCUCAGCUUAGCUCAUGCCACCUUCCAGACACCAAGCUACAGAUAAUACCAUGACUCUACCCCGACUUCUCUGGGCAGAUGACCUCACCAAUGUGUCCUGCGUCCACCCAUCUCCAGAGCUCUGGUCCACUAGGGAAAGACAGAAACAGGCUGGGGCUAUGGAUCGACCUGUCAACGCCCAUGCUCAGUAGAGAAACAGCUACAGAAGCCAGAACUCCUACCUUCUGCUCACCAUAAACAACUUUGAUCCAGACUCCCAGCAGGGAAGAAGGGACAGGAUGAAGAUAAGAGGACUCUGCACUCCAGCUCCAUCAGCACCCGGAGAGAGAGAAGGAAAAGGAGAGGGCCACAUGGAGAGCACUGCUCAUCUCUGGCUUACAGUAGUGCUGUGGGAGAGUCAAUAUGGGUGUUGUUGCGGCAGUCUGGUGUCGGGCUGCACCGCGGAGAAGAGAGCGGACGUCCAGAGCAAAUGGGCCCUCCCCCGCCAAGAGAAUUGGAUCAGUCCAGUUAAUUUCGUGGCCCGUUUGGCCCCGCCCCAAGGAACCCCGAGAGAGGGUUCCUGAGUCUGAGAGUUCCGGAGUUCCUGAGUUCGAGAGUAAGGGAGAGGGUUCCUGAGUUGGAGAGAAAAAAGAAAGAGUGUUUGUGCCGCCGCAAAGAGACAGCAGAGUUGUGUUUGGUGAUUAGUUUGUCUUAGUUUAUGAAUCGUUGUUCGUGAAUAAAGAAAUACAGCU